rnacentral:rRNA from 1 species
UACGUAGGGUGCGAGCGUUAAUCGGAAUUACUGGGCGUAAAGCGUGCGCAGGCGGUCUGUUAAGACAGAUGUGAAAUCCCCGGGCUUAACCUGGGAACUGCAUUUGUGACUGGCAGGCUAGAGUAUGGCAGAGGGGGGUAGAAUUCCACGUGUAGCAGUGAAAUGCGUAGAGAUCCGGAGGAACACCAAAGGCGAAGGCAGUGUCCUGGGGAGUACCUGACGCUCAGGUGCGAAAGCCAGGGGAGCGAACGGG